GCCCGGCUAGCGCAAUGGUAGCGCGUAAGACUUCUACUUUCUCUCUUCUGAUCUCAUAUGAGUUGGAUUCAAAGUGAUCUUAAGGCUGUGGGUUCGAGUCCCACGUCGGGCU
rfam:Podospora anserina genomic DNA, chromosome 1.